UACGUAGGGCGCAAGCGUUGUCCGGAAUUAUUGGGCGUAAAGAGCUCGUAGGCGGUCUGUUACGUCCGCUGUGAAAACCCAGGGCUUAACCCUGGGCUUGCAGUGGAUACGGGUAGACUAGAGGCAGGUAGGGGAGAAUGGAAUUCCCGGUGUAGCGGUGAAAUGCGCAGAUAUCGGGAGGAACACCGGUGGCGAAGGCGGUUCUCUGGGCCUGGCCUGACGCUGAGGAGCGGAAGCGUGGGGAGCGAACAGG
rnacentral:rRNA from 1 species